GACGAACGCUGGCGGCGUGCUUAACACAUGCAAGUCGAACGGAAAGGCCCUGCUUUUGUGGGGGGCUCGAGUGGCGAACGGGUGAGUAACACGUGAGUAACCUGCCCUUGACUUUGGGAUAACUUCAGGAAACUGGGGCUAAUACCGGAUAGGAGCUCCUGCUGCAUGGUGGGGGUUGGAAAGUUUCGGCGGUUGGGGAUGGACUCGCGGCUUAUCAGCUUGUUGGUGGGGUAGUGGCUUACCAAGGCUUUGACGGGUAGCCGGCCUGAGAGGGUGACCGGCCACAUUGGGACUGAGAUACGGCCCAGACUCCUACGGGAGGCAGCAGUGGGGAAUAUUGCACAAUGGGCGGAAGCCUGAUGAAGCAGCGCCGCGUGCGGGAUGACGGCCUUCGGGUUGUAAACCGCUUUCGCCUGUGACGAAGCGUGAGUGACGGUAAUGGGUAAAGAAGCACCGGCUAACUACGUG
rnacentral:rRNA from 1 species